AUUCCAGGCUCUUCUGUGCCUGUGGGACUACAUUCUCUGUGCCGGGCUUAGAGAACACGAAGAGGGAGCCAUCUGCCACACUCUGGAGGCUGAAGCCUGCACCAGUGCUGCUCGCCUCACUGUGGUUUUUCUGGCUUUGCCUGCCCAGCUGCUCCAUGCCUGGCUAGAGGAGAAGGAGGAGCCACAUGUGGUACACUGGAGGCUGGAGCCUGCAGAUGGCAUGGCUCUGCGGCUCACCUUGCUGCAGUUGGUGGUGGUGACAGAGACUGCAGCUUGACUGUAGUGAAUUUGGAAAUUAUCUGUCUGGAAGCUCUGAGUUUAUCUUGGGACCUCAAGAGGAGAGGAUCACCCAACUCACAGCAAUCAAACUCCAAAUGGUGCUAUAAACUGAACCACACAUGGACACGUCAGUCUUCCGAGGACCCUUAGAUCAACCCCAGGAGGAGCCCUAGCUGCUGUUCCCCAUUCGACGCCCCUUUCCAGCAGGAAGUAGCCAGAAGACAUCGUCGCCCAAACCUCUAACAGCAGUUAGUGCGGCAUCUCCACAGGGGGGAAUGUUGUAGGAGUUAUUGAUAAAUUAUUUUAGGCAGAUAGAGAGGAAAAGGGGUCCUUAGGAAGUUUUUGUUUUUUAAAGCACGUCUGGAAAAGUUUCUUGUAAAGCUCCAGCUCUUAAAGCCAGGCCAGUUACCCGAUAUCCAAAUGCCAGCCAUUAGAAAGUGGGUCCACCCAAACAUGGCGAUUCCUGUGGACUUCUUGCCCUUUCCCCACAUUCCUGGAUACAUGGACACCCCGAAGUAUCCCCACCUGUGUAGAAGAUCAUGGUGCCCUGCAUUUGCAUAUUAAAAGGCUAGGGUGGGAGAGCCAGCUUUUCCUGCGGGCUACGUGAAUGACAUGCCUAGUCAAACCAAUCCCCUGAGCCUGUGCAAAUCAGACACUGCCUCCUCCAGCCUCUGUAUAUAUACCUAGCUGGUAUCUGUGGCAGGUGGGGUUCCCUCUCUUGGCUUUGGAGCCCCCCUUCCUCUGUCUCUGUACAGGGGAGCUUCUUCCUUUUCCCUUCCCUCUUGCUUCUUCUUGCCUAUUAAACUCUCUCUGCUCCUUAAAAAUAAAAAAAACUAUAUUUGAAACAUUUCUAUAAUUACAUGACUGGUCGUUUAUAACUAAAUGACUGGAAUUCUCAGAAGAGAAAGCCAUUUAUUCAGAGCCAAGCUAUUCAGGUAAGUAUGGCUAUCCUGUUCUUUGAAGUGGUUCACUUCAACUCAACAAACUGCCAAUAUAAAUAUGACCUUGCUCUCUCCUUCCCAGCAGACAGGCCCAACUAACACACGUCCUUCUCCAAUUCCCC
rnacentral:lncRNA from 10 species